GUGUUAGUAAAACAAUUACAUAGUUUUGUCAAGACUAAAUUCCAGGUGAAAAUCCAGUACACCUUUACA
rnacentral:tRNA from 1 species